UACGGAGGGUGCAAACGUUGCUCGGAAUCAUUGGGCGUAAAGCGCACGUAGGCGGUCUUUUAAGUUGGGCGUGAAAUCCCUCGGCUUAGCCAAGGAAGUGCACUCAAAACUGAAAGACUUGAAUACUGGAGAGGGUCGCAGAAUUCUCGGUGUAGAGGUGAAAUUCGUAGAUAUCGGGAGGAAUACCAGUGGCGAAGGCGGCGACCUGGUCAGAUAUUGACGCUGAGGUGCGAAAGCGUGGGGAGCAAACAGG
rnacentral:rRNA from 1 species